rnacentral:rRNA from 1 species
UGGGGAAUAUUGGACAAUGGGCGAAAGCCUGAUCCAGCCAUGCCGCGUGUGUGAAGAAGGUCUUCGGAUUGUAAAGCACUUUAAGUUGGGAGGAAGGGCAGUAAGCGAAUACCUUGCUGUUUUGACGUUACCGACAGAAUAAGCACCGGCUAACUCUGUGCCAGCAGCCGCGGUAAUACAGAGGGUGCAAGCGUUAAUCGGAAUUACUGGGCGUAAAGCGCGCGUAGGUGGUUGGUUAAGUUGGAUGUGAAAGCCCCGGGCUCAACCUGGGAACUGCAUCCAAAACUGGCCGACUAGAGUACAGUAGAGGGUGGUGGAAUUUCCUGUGUAGCGGUGAAAUGCGUAGAGAUCGGAAGGAACACCAGUGGCGAAGGCGACUUCCUGGACUGAUACUGACACUGAGGUGCGAAAGCGUGGGGAGCAA